AUGACACCCUUCAACCAGAUAAACAAAGCAACGAGGAGGGGCAUGUUGUUAGAUGGAGUGUGUAACGAACAGAAUACUCCCUGCCACAUUACAGACAAUGGGAGAGCCCCGCAGGACGCUGCAUAUGUCCUGGUUCACAGGAUGUGCUGGGGCUGUCGGGCACCGUGUUGGGAGGCAGAGGAACAUGCGAUGUCGGCGCUGGGUGGGUUCAGAGUGCAGUGGUGGCAUCGUCCCCAAGCAUCACUCGGCAGUGGCACCAUGCUGAUGUGUCACCCAACAGCAGAAGACAAUCCCUAUGGUGGUGAAAACGGUGAGGGCGAUGGCUCCAGGCUCGCUGCGAGAAGGAAACAGCCAAGUUGGGGUCGUGGCUUCGCUCAGCUCCCAGCAAAGCAGGCAUUGCCAUGCUGCGUCCUCAGGGAACAGCAGCAACCAAAGCAUCCAGCAUGGGGACACGGUACAAAAUGCUGCAACGCAGGCCUGUGCGGGGAUGGGUGUUGCUUCUUCGGGACCUACAGACCAGCAGACACGAGCCCAUACAGCCACAGGACCCUACCCAAGCCCCUUCCCCCCACCACACACAAACCCUACUUGUUAGUCAACUUUGCUUUAAAAAAACUGUAUUUUAAAGGUUAUCAAUUCUAA
rnacentral:lncRNA from 1 species